CAGACGUGCUGGGUGAUAUCAAAUAAGCAUUAUUGACAUUUUUUUCUUCUAUUUUAGGGACUAGUGUUCUGCAGGUCACUCAUUUGAUUAUAGAAUAGAUCGGUGUGAUCAUUGCAAAACCUUGCUCCAAUAAGUGGAUUCCUGGCUAAGUGAGACUAGUCAUAACUGAAAAACUGUGUACAGCAACCUCAUUUCAUAUCCUGCUUUUUUUCAAACUUACGAAUAGGUUGAGUCGGUGUCCAAACAAGAGGAAAAUGUGGUGGUAUUGCUAAUCUUGGUGCGGACAUCUCAAGGAUCUCGUGGAGAAGUAGGGUGUAAGUGGCUAUUCCAAUUUGAAAUUCUUCUCAAAUGCCAACAAAGCUGGUGAAGAUUAUGAUGGUGUCGAGGCUUAGAUGACUUUGUCAGCUUCAUUAACGAGAAGUGUGGCACUAGUUUUGAUCCAAAAGGACGACUUACUUCUAAGGUUAGUAGCAACCAAAUAGACGAUUGAUGACAUAACAUUUAUCAUUCGAGAAAGGAGCUUUUUAUGCCAAGAAUGAAAUCCAUGCAUUACUUCUAAAAAAUGUUGCCCUCCUACCCUCUUGAUAUCAGCUUCUUAAAUGUUACACAAUUUUGAUCAGUUGACAUAUCGAAGGAGAUUUGUUGUUUUAACUCUGUGAAGCAGAAACUGAGCUCUUUUUGUA